rnacentral:rRNA from 1 species
UUAGUACGAGAGGAUUGGGUUGGACACACCCCUGGUGAGCCAGUUGCGCCGCUUGGCGCAUAGCUGGGUAGCUACGUGUGGCAGGGAUAACCGCUGAAAGCAUCUAAGCGGGAAGCCCCCCUCGAGAUGAGGCCUGGUUGUCGAAAGACGUGAGACCCGUGGAAGACCACCACGUUGAUAGGCCGCAGGUGUAAGGGCAGAAAUGCCUUCAGCCGAGCGGUACUAACGGUCGAAGGCUUGAUCAC